rnacentral:rRNA from 1 species
UACGGAGGGUGCAAGCGUUAUCCGGAUUCACUGGGUUUAAAGGGUGCGUAGGUGGGUUGGUAAGUCAGUGGUGAAAUCCCCGAGCUUAACUUGGGAACUGCCAUUGAUACUAUCAGUCUUGAAUACUGUGGAGGUCAGCGGAAUAUGUCAUGUAGCGGUGAAAUGCUUAGAUAUGACAUAGAACACCGAUUGCGAAGGCAGCUCACUACAGAGUCAUUGACGCUGAGGCACGAAAGCGUGGGGAUCAAACAGG